rnacentral:rRNA from 1 species
GACGAACGCUGGCGGCGUGCUUAACACAUGCAAGUCAAACGGAAAGGCCCUGCUUUUGUGGGGUGCUCGAGUGGCGAACGGGUGAGUAACACGUGAGUAACCUGCCCUUGACUUUGGGAUAACUUCAGGAAACUGGGGCUAAUACCGGAUAGGAGCUCCUGCUGCAUGGUGGGGGUUGGAAAGUUUCGGCGGUUGGGGAUGGACUCGCGGCUUAUCAGCUUGUUGGUGGGGUAGUGGCUUACCAAGGCUUUGACGGGUAGCCGGCCUGAGAGGGUGACCGGCCACAUUGGGACUGAGAUACGGCCCAGACUCCUACGGGAGGCAGCAGUGGGGAAUAUUGCACAAUGGGCGGAGGCCUGAUGCAGCAACGCCGCGUGCGGGAUGACGGCCUUCGGGUUGUAAACCGCUUUCGCCUGUGACGAAGCGUGAGUGACGGUAAUGGGUAAAGAAGCACCGGCUAACUACGUG